AACGUAACAAGGUCUCCGUUGGUGAACCAGCGGAGGGAUCAUUACCGAGUUUACAACUCCCAAACCCCUGUGAACAUACCACUUGUUGCCUCGGCGGAUCAGCCCGCUCCCGGUAAAACGGGACGGCCCGCCAGAGGACCCCUAAACUCUGUUUCUAUAUGUAACUUCUGAGUAAAACCAUAAAUAAAUCAAAACUUUCAACAACGGAUCUCUUGGUUCUGGCAUCGAUGAAGAACGCAGCAAAAUGCGAUAAGUAAUGUGAAUUGCAGAAUUCAGUGAAUCAUCGAAUCUUUGAACGCACAUUGCGCCCGCCAGUAUUCUGGCGGGCAUGCCUGUUCGAGCGUCAUUUCAACCCUCAAGCACAGCUUGGUGUUGGGACUCGCGUUAAUUCGCGUUCCCCAAAUUGAUUGGCGGUCACGUCGAGCUUCCAUAGCGUAGUAGUAAAACCCUCGUUACUGGUAAUCGUCGCGGCCACGCCGUUAAACCCCAACUUCUGAAUGUGACCUCGGA
rnacentral:rRNA from 1 species